AGCAGGGGGAUGGAGAGGAGAGUACAGAUGGCUUUUGUCGCCGUAAAAAUAUUCCUUCUCUGUUUGAUUGGCAGCCUCAGAACCCUGCCGAUUCCAAAUGAUGUGACUCUGCAUCCUAGUUGGGUGGAAGGUCUGUGGGGGUCUGCUGGUGGACCACUCCAUGGUGUUGACCUACGUGCAGAAGGGCUUGUAGAGGUUACCAAGGUCAUAACCCC